GGCCGGGCCGGGCGGCCAGAAGGGCUGGAUUUGGAGGAGCUGGUGGCGGCGGCUGUAGAGGGGCCAGCCUGCUGGGCGCCCCGUAGUUCCCCACGAGGACCCGCAGGGGCUGCAGCGGUUGCAGGAGCUGCUGCACUAGCAGCAGCGGGCAGGGCAGGGCAGUUCUGUUCUGUCCUCCCCUCCCCGGGAACCCCGGGCCACCAGCAGCCGCAGCCCCUGCAGCCCCGGCUGCACGGACACCGACCCCCCGGAGGAGGAGGAGGAGGAAGAAGAGGAAGAGCAGCCGCCUCAUCCUGCGGCAUCAGGGGAGCCUCACGGCCGCAGGUGGCAGUGUGGAAGCCAAGAAUAAGAAUUGGCAGAAGUUAACAGUUCUGUUCUCUGAGGAAAGUCAUCAACCUGACUAAGCCCGGGAACCCCGAAAAACCACAGCGCAGAGCCGAAGCGGCUUGAAGCAGAAAGAAAACAACAGAGGGAGGAGAAGUUCCACGAUCUGGAUUUACUUGCGGGACCGUGGAAGUGUUGCCAGAGAAGAGCAAGAAGACAAAGGCUCCAAUCAGGUGAUCAGCUGAUGACUAAAUUUCCAGCCCACUACGAAGAUAACUUCAGAACCCAGGAAUGAAAUGCUGAGAGCUUCUGACUUUGGAGAAGCACCGUCGAGAGAGCGUUCCUUGCAGAGUGAAACAAAGGCUUUUUUAUAAUCCGGUUUAUCUAGCUGGGAAGAGGGUGGUUUUUUGUUUUGUUUUGUUUUUUUUAGCUAACAGAAGCUGCAGCGUUCUGUCACCAGGAAAUACUGCUUUAUUCAGAAUGGAAUCUUGAACAGACAACGUGAGAAGCGGUGCGGCCCAGUGGAAAGAGCAUGAUCCUAGAAGAACUAAACCGAUGGAUUUAGUAGGUGGGACAGGUCUCGACAGGCCUUGGCCCUCGAGGAGAACCUUUCAACGGGAGCCCUGAGAAGAUAAGGUCCUGUCUUGUUGGGAACAGUCUCUGAUGACUUCAGGCAACAUUUACCGGGGAGGUAAUGACCUGCAGUUACCUGCUCUUGGGAUCUGGUGUCGGGAGCAGUUGCUGAAUGGAAGGCGCUCCGAGACGAGCCAAGAACAGAAUUUCCAGUCAAGUCUCCCGUCUGAGCAGCCAGCCACUGGGUCUGAAGGAUUCCGUCGCUUCUGUGGGGACAGGGGGCGGGGCUUGAAAGGCUUCGGGUUGAGAAGGAAUAGAGGGGUGGACAGAUAGAGGGGAAGACUGGAGUAGGGGCAGAGGGAGGAGAAGAAGGGAGAGAACAAAGGAAGAGAAAGGGGGAAGGAAAAGUGAAAGGAAGGUGUUCACCUCCGUCUUCACUGACGGUCUUCUGGGGCCAUUCUGAGCUCUGGUUUUGGAUGACAAGGACGUGGUGAAGACACACUCUGUCCCCGCCCCGUUCUCUGCCUCCACAAGCUUUCUGCGAUGAUUCCCUUGAAGUGGUGCUAUGGCAGAAGACCCCUUAUCUAUUUAUCUAAACGUUGCUAAAACAUCUCCUGCCCUGGUGAUGAGGAGCUCUGUACAAGUACCCACCGGGCAUGCAGCUUCCCACAUGGGGAAUGCAUGCCCACAUGGACUUUCUUCUGUUCUUUUGCCAGCUCUUUCCUGCGGCGUUGGGCCAGAGAGUUGAGGGUAGGGAUGGUGCCCGUGAACUCUAUUGUGCUGUACUCUCCCAAGUACCCAGUACAGAGCUCUGCACACAGUGAACGCCUGAUAAACACCAGAGAUUGACUGACUGGCUGCAGGAGCGAUGGAGCAGGGUGUGGCGGGCUGCCUUUUCCCUCUCUUUUUUUGUUUUUAAUGCAAUCUGUAAAGUGUU